AGAUCAAAAUUUAAUCUCUGCUAUUUGAAAACUAAUCUACAGGAUUAUUAGAUUAUUGGUGAAUUGGAACUAAACAUCAUUAAAAGCUGAUGUUUCUUUGUUUUCUUCAUUGAAGAAACUGCGUCAUUUUCUCAUUUCCUGGAAUCAAACUCUGGUCUUCCAUUAAAGUCAGACACAACAGCUUCCUGCUGCUUCCUGCUAGAUGUCUUACGGCGGAGUCUCAAACGUCAUCACCGGCGGCCAUCUUGCCUCAGGCAAGCUUUCUGGCGUGCUCUGUGGUACCUAAUGUAAGGAUUUGUUGUGCGACGGGCUCUGAAGAAGCUGUCCUGUGAUGUCUGCCGUGCCAGCUUGGUAACAGAUGCUGCAUCUGCCAUCACGGACCAGCGCUAUCACCUGCUGAAGUUAAAAAACAAUGGAAAUCUGGUGAUUCCAUCAGAAGGCACAGUGAUGUGGUCAGGACAGCAGAGUGGGUCAUUCGUCAGACCUGUCUAUGGCAAAGACAGCCACCACCAUACGCUGUUAACGUUGGUUGUGUCCUUGUUUUUUAAGUUAAGGCUGCACCACAUUGCCAAAAUAACUAACCUUAGCUUACAGAGCAACAACAUGCAACAGAAGCUCAAUAAAACCGUCCUUUUCAAAGGGCAUUAGCCAA